CACCUAUAAUCGUUUUAAUCGAUGGGGGGACGCAGUAGGAUAGGCGAAGCGUGCGAUUGGAUUGCACGUCUAAGCAGUAAGGCUGAGUAUUAGGCAAAUCCGGUACUCAUUAAGGCUGAGCUGUGAUGGGGAGAAGACAUUGUGUCUUCGAGUCGUUGAUUUCACACUGCCGAGAAAAGCCUCUAGAUAGAAAAUAGGUGCCCGUACCGCAAACCGACACAGGUAGUCAAGAUGAGAAUUCUAAGGUGAGCGAGCGAACUCUCGUUAAGGAACUCGGCAAAAUGACCCCGUAACUUCGGGAGAAGGGGUGCUCUUUAGGGUUAACGCCCAGAAGAGCCGCAGUGAAUAGGCCCAAGCGACUGUUUAUCAAAAACACAGGUCUCUGCUAAACCGUAAGGUGAUGUAUAGGGGCUGACGCCUGCCCGGUGCUGGAAGGUUAAGAGGAGUGGUUAGCUUCUGCGAAGCUACGAAUCGAAGCCCCAGUAAACGGCGGCCGUAACUAUAACGGUCCUAAGGUAGCGAAAUUCCUUGUCGGGUAAGUUCCGACCCGCACGAAAGGCGUAACGAUUUGGGCACUGUCUCAACGAGAGACUCGGUGAAAUCAUAGUACCUGUGAAGAUGCAGGUUACCCGCGACAGGACGGAAAGACCCCGUGGAGCUUUACUGUAGCCUGAUAUUGAAAUUCGGCACAGCUUGUACAGGAUAGGUAGGAGCCUUUG
rnacentral:rRNA from 1 species